CGAGUAAACGGCGGCCGUAACUAUAACGGUCCUAAGGUAGCGAAAUUCCUUGUCGGUUAAAUACCGACCUGCAUGAAUGGCGUAACGAGAUGGGAGCUGUCUCAACCAGAGAUUCAGUGAAAUUGUAGUGGAGGUGAAAAUUCCUCCUACCCGCGGCAAGACGGAAAGACCCCGUGGACCUUUACUACAACUUAGCACUGCUAAUGGGAAUAUCAUGCGCAGGAUAGGUGGGAGGCUUUGAAGUAAGGGCUUUGGCUCUUAUGGAGUCAAA
rnacentral:rRNA from 1 species